GACGUAGGAGGCGAGCGUUAUCCGGAUUCACUGGGCGUAAAGCGCAUGUAGGCGGCUGGACAAGUCGUGUGUUAAAGCCCCUGGCUCAACUGGGGGAGGUCAUGCGAGACUGUUCGACUUGAGGGCAACAGAGGCACGUGGAACUCCCGGUGUAGCGGUGGAAUGCGUAGAGAUCGGGAAGAACACCAGUGGCGAAGGCGACGUGCUGGGUUGCACCUGACGCUGAGAUGCGAAAGUGUGGGGAGCAAACGGG
rnacentral:rRNA from 1 species